rnacentral:rRNA from 1 species
UCCGUAGGUGAACCUGCGGAGGGAUCAUUACACAAAUAUGAAGGCGGGCUGGAACCUCUCGGGGUUACAGCCUUGCUGAAUUAUUCACCCUUGUCUUUUGCGUACUUCUUGUUUCCUUGGUGGGUUCGCCCACCACUAGGACAAACAUAAACCUUUUGUAAUUGCAAUCAGCGUCAGUAACAAAUUAAUAAUUACAACUUUCAACAACGGAUCUCUUGGUUCUGGCAUCGAUGAAGAACGCAGCGAAAUGCGAUAAGUAGUGUGAAUUGCAGAAUUCAGUGAAUCAUCGAAUCUUUGAACGCACAUUGCGCCCUUUGGUAUUCCAAAGGGCAUGCCUGUUCGAGCGUCAUUUGUACCCUCAAGCUUUGCUUGGUGUUGGGCGUCUUGUCUCUAGCUUUGCUGGAGACUCGCCUUAAAGUAAUUGGCAGCCGGCCUACUGGUUUCGGAGCGCAGCACAAGUCGCACUCUCUAUCAGCAAAGGUCUAGCAUCCAUUAAGCCUUUUUUCCAACUUUUGACCUCGGAUCAGGUAGGGAUACCCGCUGAACUUAAGCAUAUCAAUAAGCGGAGGA